UCCCUAGUGACUCAGUUGAUAAAGAACCUGCCUGCAAUACAGGAAACCCAAGUUCAAUCCCUGGCUGAGGAA
rnacentral:tRNA from 1 species